rnacentral:rRNA from 1 species
AACCCCUCGCUGCCAGUUGCCAACGGGUGAAGCCGGGCACUCUGGCGGGACUGCCACUCGACAAGAUGGAGGAAGGUGGGGAUGACGUCAAGUCAUCAUGGCCCUUAUGUCCAGGGCGACACACGUGCUACAAUGGCCGGCACAGCGGGAAGCGAGGCAGUGAUGCCAAGCGGAUCCCUUAAAGCCGGUCUCAGUUCGGAUUGAAGUCUGCAACUCGACUUCAUGAAGCUGGAAUCGCUAGUAAUCGCAGAUCAGCCAAGCUGCGGUGAAUACGUUCCCGGGCCUU